GCCUCGGGGAGCUGUAAGCAAGCUUUGAUCCGGGGAUGUCCGAAUGGGGAAACCCGGCUGUCUUCAUCGACAGUCACUUUCUGCUGAAUACAUAGGCAGAAGAGAGGCAGACCAGGGGAACUGAAACAUCUAAGUACCCUGAGGAAGAGAAAACAAUAGUGAUUCCGUCAGUAGCGGCGAGCGAACGCGGAUUAGCCCAAACCAAGGAGCUUGCUCCUUGGGGUUGUGGGACGUCUC
rnacentral:rRNA from 1 species